rnacentral:misc_RNA from 1 species
CGCUCUUUGUAUAAUUUUAAGAUAAAGAGUCGGACCUGCCCAGUGACAUACGUGUUAAACGGCCGCGGUACUCUGACCGUGCAAAGGUAGCAUAAUCACUUGCCUUUUAAUUGGAGGCUUGUAUGAAUGGUUUGACGAGAACUAAGCUGUCUCCUUGUAAAUAUUUAGAAAUUAACUUAUAGGUGAAGAGGCCUAUAUAUAUUUAAGGGACAAGAAGACCCUUUUGAGUUUUAGUAAAGUAAGAAAAUAAAUUUAUUGUUUUAUUUGAUAAAUAGAAUAUUUAAAUUAUGUUUAAGAGCAUAGAUUAAAUUUUUUAUUAAUCUUUAGUUGGGGCGACUGAGGAGCAUAAUAAGCUUCCUUUAAUUUAGAUGAUGGCUGGCAAGUUAAUUUGAUCCAAUUUUGUUGAUUAAAGGAAAAAAUUACCAUAGGGAUAACAGCGUAAUCUUUUUGGAGAGUUCUUAUCGAAAAAAAGGUUUGCGACCUCGAUGUUGGACUAAGAUAUCCCAGGGGUGUAGAAGCUUCUGAGGGUUGGUCUGUUCGACCAUUAAAAUCUU